AGCAGUUCUCAGGUGACACACCCCAGGAUCAGGCUCCCUCCUCUCUGGUUCUGGGUGCAUCACCUGAGAACUGCA
rfam:Myotis lucifugus cont2.22152, whole genome shotgun sequence.